rnacentral:lncRNA from 1 species
AACCAUGGACAUCGAGCCCGAGCAGGCUGGCAUCGGAGGGGGCGUAGCUGCAGGCCUUGUGGUCACUGUUCUCGUGGUCCUACUCGUCGGUGUGGGGCUCUUCUUCUAUAGGCGACGCAGGAGAGGCAAGUCUGCAGAUGCCAGUGGUAUCUUGACCUUCCACAGGCGCCAAAGGAAGACUAGAGCACGGGCUGACAGAACGUGCGAAGGGGGAGCUAAACUACCCGGAGGUGCAUUCAGAUUAUGUGUCAUGCAAAGAGAGCAGUACGCAAGAGACCCUGUUGAGUUCUGUUUCCCUGCUCGACCAAGACACCAAAGCAAAGUUGGAGGCUGAAAAGUUGUACAUCAUGAGGAAGAACAUUAUCAUUGGCGCAGUCAUCGGUCAAGGCCAUUUUGGGUGCGUCUACAGAGGCAUUUUGGACCUGGGCGGCAAGAACGAAGCUUUUACAGUGGCAGUAAAAACUCAACAAAACAACACUAUAGGAGGAGAUGCUGAUGCCCGGGAAUUCCUGAGAGAAGCAUUGAUUAUGAAGGAUUUCCACCACGUCAACAUUCUCCCCCUCAUCGGCCUCUGUGUCGAUGAAUCAAGUGGUGGCGUUAUGGUCAUUACGCCAUACAUGGUGACCUGCUUUCCUACAUACGGGAUGCAAGAAACAAUCCAUCUGUGAAAGACUUGAUAAGGUUUGGCAUCCAUGUGGCAGAAGGUAUGGCGUAUUUGGCCAAGCUAAAGUUUGUGCACAGAGAUCUCGCAGCGCGCAAUUGCAUGUUGAGUGAAGAUUUAAUUGUGCGAGUAGCUGACUUUGGACUUUCUCGAGACAUCUACGAGAGGGACUACUACAGUGAAGAUAACAAAAAGAAAAAGCUUCCUGUGAGAUGAAUGGCACCAGAGAGCUUGGAGAAAAGCUUGUACAACCACAAGACGGACGUGUGGUCAAACGGUGUGCUGUUGUGGGAACUUCUGACGCGCGGUGAAAUGCCGUAUGCCGACGUAGACAACUGGGAUAUAGUGAAAUAUCUCAAACAAGGACGCCGGUUGGAGCAGCCUAGUUUCUGUCCAAAUGAGCUUUACAACAUCAUGCUCAGUGCUGGCAAGACGAUGCGAAUCGACGACCUACAUUCGCACGACUAGCGACUCUCGUCACGGACGUAAUCAGCGGCCUCGUCAAAGGGAAGGGAAACAUUGCAGUGAGCUUAGGCGCUACCUACGACAGUUGUCCUCGGACUGCAGCAGUGACCACAGAUGUAGAAGUUGCACAUCCAACGCCGACAAUGUUAUCGAACUAAUUUGUACAGUGAUCGCCAGCUAAUUACUUCAGUAUCAUCUUCUAUGCAGCUUGUACAGAGGCUGAAGAACCUUUGUAGAAGAUACUUUUGACAGCUAGAGCAGCUGCCAGAGCUUCAAGAGACAGUGAGAGCGCGAGGAGAUUUGAAAUAUCGCAAAUGUAUCUACACAUGGUCACAUCCAGCUAGUUUUACAUUGCAUGCUAUCCCUAAUAUUUGAAGCACAGUUCAGAGAAUGCAGCUGGAAUGUUCUUCACAAGUCAAUAUCCAAGCUUGUGACUUGUAGAGUACUGCUGCUUCAUCAGGUGUGGUUACAAACUGAUUUCAUUGUUAACAGUUCCUCAGAUGCUGUGGUUUGCGACUGUGCACUGCUAUACACUUUUGUGCCAUUCUGCAUCAUUAGAGACGUAAGGAUUUUUUUUAUUAGGAUAGUCUACGGAUGAUGCAGAUGCUUUCCAUGUUCCAUCCUGCAAUACUUUUUGCCUAAGCUGUUCCUAUGCACACGGUGGUAGGGUAUGCAUGUUGAUUAGGAAACACUUGUUAAUUGCCGUGCGAACGUUCUGCAAGUACACGACUGCAAGGUGUCUAUUAAAUUACAA